UAGUAAGAAAAAAGUGAUAUUUUCUAGCUGUGAUUUUAGAAUAAUGCAACUAUUACAGCAGGCUUCUUUGGGUCACAAUCCCAUUUGAGAAUCGAAGGAAAACUAUGGACUACCUCCUCAGAAAAGCAGACAUCAGUAUAUACACCCAGAAUCUGCACUUUGCACUGGAAUCUGAUUUCUUCACACAGAUGUUCCUACCGUGAAAAAAAAGAGGUUUACCCAAACAUUUAGCUUAAAGUUCUCUGUGUCAUGAACAUUUCAAAGGGGCAGAAAAAAAUUGAAUAAAACCCCCUUCUGAGGCACAUUUAAGGACUUCAAACUAAGAACCUUGUAGUAUGGUAUUCUUAUUAAGAGCAUUCAUCAGUAGCAAAGUACAAUGUAUGGCUGCAAUUGUGUUGGAUAAACAAGGGAGAUAGAAAUGUAGUAGAAUUAUCUUAUUAAGCACUUUAGUCGAGCCUGUGGAGUGGGGUGGGGUGGGGGUGGGGGGACAUGUGGGAUGAAGCAUGGCCCAGGAUAAUUGUUAGAAGGAGUAUACUGGUACUUAUUAAGCUAUAACUUGCACUAAAUCUAGUUUGCUUUGUUUAGGUUACUAUAUUCAAAAGAACAAUACUUAGGUCACCGGUCUGAUGUUAGAAUGUAGAGUUGGCACUGCAAUUUUCAUGUAGCUAAAGUCUAGCUCUGUUUAGAUUGUGAAGGGGAGAUUCCCAGAGAGAACAUGCUGCGUUAACCAAAUCCGCAAAAAUUGGUUAAACUCUAGCUUAAUGGAAUAUGCAGAUAGCAGGAAUAAAAAGACUGUCCUCAGAGUUUCCUUCUGAAAACAGACUCUGUCACAAAAUCUACACAUUUUGAAAACAAUGUCUGUUCCGUCCCCCAGGACGAUGGUUUGCCUUACCUAUUGGUCGUUUGUUUGUUUUCCCGCCUUUGCAUUUUGUUUGAGCCUCUGGCUGCAAAAGCCUAGGAAAAAUGGCUUGGAAUCUGCAAGAGCUGGCUGCAGUUUUCUUUGCAGUGAUUGGUCAAAGAAUGCAACAUCUUAGGACCGCCCUUUUUACCAGGGUCUAGUCUCCAUUUUGGAGCUUCAUUCUGGCUAUAGUCUUACAACGUGCUGGAGCUGUGCAAGGCUAACUGGGACAAAUCAUCCUCAAAACCAGGCCAAUCUAAGCCUAUCCAAAUUAGAUAAGUAUUGAAUUAUAUUGAUCUGGAAUAGAAAAUCUAGUUAGAGGAGCAGGGUUAUUCUGUCGCUUCUAGAACUAAUCUUUGCUGUAAAGAUAGGGAAGGAAAGAGUUUCUCCUUCUAAUAUAGGCAGCGUGAUUAGGGUAUAGUGGUUUUAUAAUCACCUUUGCUUUCUGGAACCAGGGAUAAUUCUGUACCUAAAACCUAUAGAAAUUUGUUUCAUUUUCUGCAACUUUAAGAUCUGUGCCAGGUUUACAACCUUGUAUGAAUAAACAUCCUUUUUUGAAGUUAUCCAGACUCAGUCGUUCAAUAUCUAUAGGACAGCUUAUAGGGAUUUGCAGUUCGCCCGGAUAAAGGACAGCACGUUUCAGUUUUAUAGUUUUUAUUGUCCGGCGGACGGCACAGUUUUGAGGUCGAUCAGCGGUUUUUCCGCUUCAGCUAGCUUGCACGGCUUUAUAGUUUUUUAUAGUUUAGGAAGUUUUAGUAUAGGCUGCGGCUUUUCCGCCUGAGCUCAGUCUGCAUACCUAAAGACUCUACCAGCGUCUGAGGCAGUGGAGCCCGCUCUCAGACCUGAAGGAGUCAAAUAGUGGGGCUCUAUUUCCUUGCUAUUUGGCUCGCGUGUGCGCACGUAGCCCAGUGGCUUUCUGGGUUUGCACAGGCUGUGCAGUUCCCAGCAACGUCCAGGGCUCCCUCGGCGGUAGACCUCGAGCCGCGGAGCACCAGCGACAGUUCUUUGGCUGGCUCUGAGGCGUGGAGCCCACCAGAACCAGGCUAGAACCUGGACAGGCCUGGCAACGCUGCUGCGAGUUCGGCCGGAGCACUCAACCGGCUUUGACAGCCUCUUCAUCAGGAGUUCGGCCGGAGCACUCGGCCGGCUUUGACCUGCCUCAUGGUCCGGCGGUGGUGACCUGCCUCAUCGUCCUGCGGUGGUGACCUGCCUCAUCGUCCUGCGGUGGUGACCUGCCUCAUCGUCCUGCGGUGGUGACCUGCCUCAUCGUCCUGCGGUGGUGACCUGCUUCAUCGACCUGCGGUGGUGACCUCCCUUCACAGCGGGGAGGAGGCGUCUUUUCUCUCCUCCUUUCCAAAGCCAGCCUCGGUGCUCCUUCGGCGGCAGGCCUCGAGCCGCAGAGCACGAGGUGCUUGAAAAUUUGGCGAAGUCGCCAUUUUGGCAGUUUACGUCACUCGGGCAAGGGAGGUAUCAAGUGGCAAGUUGCUGUCAGUUGGCAUUUUGCAGCUUGCCCACUAAAAUCUGGCGCCAAAGGUCACAAUCUUUGUAAAGUAUAGUUACUUAGUGAUAUAUAUUGCUAUGGUUAAGUGUUGUGCAUUGUAUUAUAUAUUGCAUUUGCUUUUAUUGUAAAUUUACUUGCUGGUAUGUUGUAUUUGCUUUUGUUGUAAAUUUACUUGCUAUUAAGAAUGCAUAAUGUCUAUGCAAUUUCAAGAUGAUACAGAUGGUAUACCUCCUUCUGAGGCUGAAAUUAGGAAUGAAAGGCCCCAAAGGAUAAAGCACCCUUCAGCCAAGAUGCUAGCCCAUCUAAUAGAUGAAAAGGAGCUCCUCCAUGUGAGGUUAGGUUCGGCAUGGGAGCGAAUUGUAACAUUGAUGGACAGAAUUGAGAGCUUGGGUAUUACAAGGGUGCCAUCCAUAUUACAGACAGACCUUGAAGAGACCUUCGGUCUCUGGAGGGGUUUGGUGUCUAAGAUAGUCCAGGUCCUCGAGCGCAUUAACGCCAAGGAUUCAGAGUUAGAAAUAGUGAGUGUCUUAGCUGGCACUAAUGAGAAAGAAAAUAAGGUGAGGGCAAUUCUAGAUGCCUUGGAAUUUAGUUCUCCACCUGUUAAUCUAAGGUCUGAGCCAAAAGGAAAUCAGUCUUCCUUAUGCAGCCAUGAGACCAAUCUUUUAAAAUCACCUGCUGUGGCACUUAGUCUUAAGUCCAACCGCUCUAGCCAGGUAUCUAAACUAAGGGAGUGUGCAUCAUCUAAACAUAGCCACUCUAGCAAGUCUUCUGCUGCUGGGAGUGCCAUCUCUUCCCUAGCUGCCUUGCACAUUAAGGAGGCUGCACGUCUGGAGCUAAAGAGCAAGGUAGCGGGGGCGGAGGCUGAUGCUAAGGCAGCUGAUCUCACCCUUCCCUUUAAAGAAGAAGAGCAACGACUGCAAAGCAAAAUGCAAAUAGAACAGGCCCAAAGGCAAUGUGAAAUAGAAAUGCUUAGAAUAAAGAUGGAUGCCGCAGCCAAAAGGGUAAGGGCUGAGACUUUGGCCAAGGCCCUAAUUGAGCCACUCACAGAAGAAAAUGUAAGUCAGUUGCCGAAGCAGGACCCUUCUUCCAAGGUGCUUGUGCAUCUUAAUAGCUUAAACAGCCAGUUUUCGGAUGAGGAACAGGGAGACUUCUCUCCUUACCCAGAGCAGGGCCCCAAAGUCACUUUUGAGUUUCCUGCAGAGCAGAGCGUCAUAGCGGGGAGCUCACCCUUGCUCGAGCUACCUGUGCCUCCUGCUAAAACCCUAGGUCAGUCAAUCAGGGCCUCAAGGCCGAGUGCUAGUUGGCCCCUACAGACAGCUGCACAGGGAACCAUCGAUUCGUCAGUGGUCGAUGUCAUCCCUCCAAGAGACCAAAGGUUGACGCAAGGUACAUGGUGGGAGUCCACUCCACAACAGCAAACUCCUCAAUUGUUCCCUUCGACGCCAGAGUCCCAGCUUGUCUCCAUCAUCAGAAGCCCCAGAAGAGAUCUUAAGGACAAGGGUGUCGAAAAGUUUUCGGACAAGCCUGAGGAAUUUCUUCUCUGGAAGGCCACCUUCCAGAGAGCAAUCAGAGACUUAAAGUUAUUGCCUGAGGAAGAACUGACUCUUCUGGCUGCAUGGUUGGGCCCAGCCUCAUCCUCACAAGUUAAGAAGAUCUACGCAGCCCACGUAGCCGAUCCCGACAAAGCCCUGGAAAAGGCCUGGGCCAGGUUGCAGCAGAGGUAUGGGGCCAGCACAGAGAUUGAAGCAUCUCUUAUGGACAAGCUCCAAAGGUUCCCAGCUUUAAAACUCAAAGACUUCAAACUCUUGUGGGACCUUAGCGAUCUCCUUACGGAAUUAGAGUCGGCCAAGGAGAAUCCAGAACUGCCCGGUUUGAAGUGCCUCGAUCAGCACCUGUCCCAGAGGCAGAUCUUGACCAAGCUGCCCUUCACUUUGCAAGAACGCUGGGGACAGGAGGUCUUCAACUACAAGGAGGCCCACUCCCAGGCAUACCCUCCAUUUUCUCAUUUGGUCCAGUUCAUCACCAGGGCGGCCAGAGAAAGGAAUGAUCCGCAGACGGGCCUCCCCACCUUAUACCAAGGGACCCAGCCAGAGAAGGCACCUAAAGUGGAGAAAAAACCAUCCAGAGAGGCCAAAAGACCGGUUAGUGUUAAGGCUGUUGAAACUCAGCACAGGGCCAACGAAUCCAAGUCAGAGGUGAAGGAGGUGCUCUGCCCUAUCCACCAAAAGCCUCACAGCUUGGCCAACUGCAAGGAGUUUAGUAGAAAGUCAUACAAAGAAAGGCAACAGCUAGUUCAAAAGCAGGGAAUCUGCUUUAGAUGCUGUGGAGCAACUCCACACUUUGCGUCCAACUGCAAAGAAAACGUCAAGUGUGAGAAAUGCAACAGCCUCAAGCAUUGCACCGCAAUGCACAACUCCAGUGUCAUCUCCCACCCCAAAGGGAACGUUUCACCAAAAGAAAAGUCAGCAGUCGAAGACACCGACAAGCCAGUCGUACCAGAGAUGCAGGUGGAGGUUUCAGCAGUCGCCUGUACAGAGCUGUGUUCUGACUCGCACCAGUACAGAGUUUGUCAUCCUAUCUGCCUAGCGGAUGUAUAUCCAGCCAAGAGCCCUUGGCUUAGAAAGAGACUCUAUGUGGCCCUGGAUUCACAGAGCGACGCCUCCCUGGCUACUCCAGAGUUUUUCCGCAUGUUUGACCUUAAAACCAAGAUGGUUGACUACACUAUGACUACGUGUGCAGGAAAAAAGAAGUUGCAGGGUCGCAUAGCAUCUGGCUUUGUUGUCUCCUCUUGCGACCAGAAGAGGCAGUUCAAGUUGCCAGACCUGAUUGAGUGUUCCUCCAUCCCUCGGAACAAAAAACAAAUUGUAACUAGAGAAGUUGUGGAGGCUCAUCCACAUUUGCGACGAUUAAAGAAUGCCAUACCUGCUUUCUGUCCAGAUGUGGACAUUGCCCUUCUGCUUGGUGCGGACUGUCCGAACUUGUUCUAUGUGAACGACCAAGUUAAGGGACCUCCAGGGGCGCCCAUUGCUCAGCUGCUACCACUAGGCUGGACAGUUACAGGCCCAGUGUGCAUAAACAAGAUGCACCCACCAUCGUCGUUGGACUCCAAUCAAGCACAGGUGCUUAAAGGUGGACGUCCUACACUUGUGCGCAGUUGCCUAAGUCACAUCUCAGUCUACUGCCAAGCAAUAACGCCAGAGUAUUCCUCCAUUUUCAAAGUCUCUGAGAGAGACGAAGCCACAGCGCUCUCGAAAGAUGAGCAAAGGUUUUCGGACAUUAUGAAUGCUCAAGUCUCACGAAGUGCAGAGGUGAAAGCCUGCAAAUCAACCACAGAAAUCAAGAUGGGCCAAAGAUCUUGCCUGGAACCACACCGUUUUGAACGUUUUUCGGAGUGGCACAGUCUUCUUAGAGCAGUAGCUAGGCUUAUACAUCGUUUAGCUUGCAAAGAUAGUGAGCCUUUACAGGUCCAGGAUAUGAUAAAGGCUAAGAGCGUCAUAUUCAAGUCAGUGCAGAGAUCUGCUUUCAAGCAGGAAAUAGCUAGGCUAGAGCAAGGGCUCAACAUCCCUAAUCAAAGUCUUCUAAAUGAGUUAAACCCAUUUCUAGACAAGGAGGGUAUUUUGAGAGUUGGAGGAAGGUUAGCCAAAGCUAAACUCAAGGCGUGCAUAAAAAACCCCAUCAUCAUACCCCCUAAUAGUCACACUGCAUUGCUGCUCGUUCGGCAUCACCAUGAAAGGAUCCAUCAUCAGGGUAGAACUCUAACUGAGGCAGCCCUUAGAAAUGAAGGUCUGUGGGUAGUUAAUGCCAAAAGGUUGGUCAACAGUUGUAUUUUCAAAUGUGUUAAAUGCAGGCGCCUUAGGCGAAACUGUCAAAGUCAGUUGAUGGCAGAAUUACCUCAGGAUAGGACUUUGACAGACCCACCCUUUUCCCAUGUGGGAAUCGAUGUGUUUGGUCCUUGGGAGGUUGUCACUAGGAAAACCAGGGGUGGUGUUGUAAAUAACAAGAGGUGGGCAGUUUUGUUUACUUGUUUAGUAAUACGAGCUGUCCAUAUAGAAGUCAUAGAAGGGAUGGACACUUCAUCAUUUUUAAACGCAUUAAAAAGGUUCAUAGCCCUCAGAGGGCCAAUUAAGUCAAUUCGGUCGGACUGUGGCACCAAUUUUGUAGGUGCGACCAAAGAACUCAAUUGUGUGUCUAGGUUUGGGAGAGACCCAAAGGUUCAGAACUUUACGAAUACUGAACAAAUUAUGUGGACUUUCAAUGUUCCUCACGCCUCCCAUAUGGGUGGUGUUUGGGAGAGGAUGAUUGGUAUUAGUCGCAAAAUCCUUAAUGCCAUGCUUUUGAGUCAUAGGUCAUUGACGCAUGAUGUUUUGGUGACACUUAUGGCGGAAGUUACCGCAAUUAUCAACAACCGGCCGCUGGUUCCCCUUACCAGUGACCCUGAGAACUUACAACCACUGACUCCUGCACUUAUUUUGACACAAAAGGUGCCAGGAUGGAAGGACGUCAUGUUGCCAGUUCCGGACGGAACUCACCGUGCCCUGUGGAAACAGGUGCAGUCCUUGGCCAACCACUUUUGGAAAAGGUGGAAAGCUGAGUACUUAAGCCAGCUUCAAGCUAGAAGAAUCUGGCAAAGCCCACAGGACAACAUUGAGGUUAACAACGUUGUGUUGUUAAAGGACAAAGACUUGCCCCGCCAUGCAUGGCCCAUGGGCAUUGUAUUAAAGACCUUUCCUUGCCCGGAUGGUAAGGUCAGGAAAGUUCAAUUAAAGACUUGCAACAGAGACAAAGUGUCCAUUUUGGACAGACCAAUUAGUGACCUCGUGUUGCUUAUUGGAGAUGUUUAAAGUUCUAGUGUUUGUAUUGUUGUGUAUACAAAGGUGUUUGUAUGUUUUUGAUUGAUAAAUUCCCACAUCCUGGGAAUUUAGCGGGGAGUGUUCCGUCCCCCAGGACGAUGGUUUGCCUUACCUAUUGGUCGUUUGUUUGUUUUCCCGCCUUUGCAUUUUGUUUGAGCCUCUGGCUGCAAAAGCCUAGGAAAAAUGGCUUGGAAUUUGCAAGAGCUGGCUGCAGUUUUCUUUGCAGUGAUUGGUCAAAGAAUGCAACAUCUUAGGACCGCCCUUUUUACCAGGGUCUAGUCUCCAUUUUGGAGCUUCAUUCUGGCUAUAGUCUUACAACGUGCUGGAGCUGUGCAAGGCUAACUGGGACAAAUCAUCCUCAAAACCAGGCCAAUCUAAGCCUAUCCAAAUUAGAUAAGUAUUGAAUUAUAUUGAUCUGGAAUAGAAAAUCUAGUUAGAGGAGCAGGGUUAUUCUGUCGCUUCUAGAACUAAUCUUUGCUGUAAAGAUAGGGAAGGAAAGAGUUUCUCCUUCUAAUAUAGGCAGCGUGAUUAGGGUAUAGUGGUUUUAUAAUCACCUUUGCUUUCUGGAACCAGGGAUAAUUCUGUACCUAAAACCUAUAGAAAUUUGUUUCAUUUUCUGCAACUUUAAGAUCUGUGCCAGGUUUACAACCUUGUAUGAAUAAACAUCCUUUUUUGAAGUUAUCCAGACUCAGUCGUUCAAUAUCUAUAGGACAGCUUAUAGGGAUUUGCAGUUCGCCCGGAUAAAGGACAGCACGUUUCAGUUUUAUAGUUUUUAUUGUCCGGCGGACGGCACAAUGUCUCUUUAGUCAAUCUUCUGCUUCUACUUGUUUGUCUGGUCUCUGUUAUCUUAGUCAAAGAUGGCUCAUCCACUUGUGACCAGUCACCAUUUCCUUUCUUUUUACACUCUUCCCUUUUGUUCUUUUUUAGGCGGUUUAAGUGCCUCAUCAUUCUUGUCCCACCUCUUUGGAGCAGAUCUCCAAUUGCCUCAUUUUACACAUAGGAAAAUAAGGUUGAGAGACAGGCAUUUGAUCAGCCCUUGGGAAAUUAUGUCUUCUUUAGAAAGAGCCAUUUACCAAGCAUGAUCACUGACCAGGCUUGUCAGGGGAUUCUGGAACCUGUAGUCCAAAGUGCAACCCCCACCCCACACCUCUGCAUUUAACCAAGGUCAGCCAGAGAAUUCACAAUGAUUAAACCAUCUUUUGAACACAACCCAGAUCUUCCUCUGAACUACAAGCCACAAACCACCCCCUCACUUCCCACCCUCAUGUUUAUGUCAUCUUGAGCAAAUGAGAAUCCUUAGGCAAAGCUAGAUGUUGAUUUUCUUCUUUGAAAGCAUUUCGGGGACUGCUAUAAACAAAUGAAUUGUAUAUGCGGCAUCAUGUUUGCUCCCAAUUUAUAUGUGGAUGUGUCAGGCAGAUUACUCUGCACCAAAUGUUUUCAGUUCCUUGCACAUCCUGAAAUUAGUAUGCUGUAGCAGUGCCUGCUUUUCUCCAGCAUGUUGUUCCUCCUGUUUUCCUAUGUAAACAUCCCAUAAUUAGUACUAAUCUAGCAGGCUGUCAUCAGCCUCCUCUGCCAGUCACCUAUGGGACAAAUUCCCCCUCAGGUCUUUGCUUUUCUAGCUCUUUUCCACCACCCUCCACGCUGAAUGCAUGCAUUUCUCAUCUUCUUGCUUUGAUUUCCUCCCCAAAAUAUUUGGCCUGCUGCCACUUUCUUCUCUGUUACAUGUUCUAGGGAACUAGUCCCCCAAGUGUCAUUUUAACUCAGCUAUAGAGGUCAUGUUGCUGGCACAGUUUGGGCAAUCAUACCAUAUCCCUCAAUAUGGGGAAAUUAAAAAUAAAAACCGGAUUCAACAAGCUUGCCAUAGGGAAGAUCAGGAGCAUGAAUUCUAUCUUUCUAUGUCUGAGCAUAUCCCUGUAUUUGGCCUGCCCUCCUCACCACCCAUAGACUAUGGCCCCUUCUACACUGCCAUAUAAAAUCCAGAUUAUCUCCUCUGAACUGUAUUAUAUGGCAGUGGAGACUCAGAUAAUCCAGUUCAAAGCAGAUAAUGUGGAUUAUCUGUUUUGAUAAUUUGAUUACAUGGCAAUGUAGAAAGGGCCUAAAUCAGUGGGAGCUAUGCACCUCUAUAAAUGCUAUAAUUUUCAGCAUUCCUCAUAAUUAUACCGAGAGAUGCCUUUUCUGGCUAUAUCACUGGAUUGAUGCUGCGGGGGCAUUGAAAACAUGUAAGGGUCUGUAUUUUUCCAUACAAUAGUGAAAACAGGAAUAUGUGUAUGGAGGAGGACUGGAGGUUAGAAUGUAGUGAGAAAAUAGCACAAGCGGGAAAGGAGUAAGGUUUUCAUCUUCCCUCCCAUCAAUCUUGCCUUUCAAACAGGAGCCUCAGCAGCUAAAUUUCAUGGAAAGGUUUUUUUCUUAAUAUGACCAGUAUUCUAUAAAUUGCCCUGCUGGAAUCUAGUGCAUAGUAGACUACGGUAUUAUUUCUCUUGAGACCAUUUGUCAUAGUAUUGGAAGAAACAAGAUAAACUGUUGGUUCUGGAGCAUUGAUUUCAUAAGACGAGGAAAGCAUGUCACCUCUCCUCUACUUGGCAGGUUUGGGAAUGCCAAAGAGUUUUGCAAGUGUUCUCUUUUCUAAACACAUUAUGCUAACUUUAGAAGGAGUAAAUGCUUGCAAUAUGCUUAAAUGUAUAGCUAGCCUUUCUCGUUAUAACAAGGUGUGCAGGGGAUGUUAACAUUUUAGUUUCUACAAUAGAAGCACUACACAAUUAUAACAUUAUAAUUUCGCUCUAAUUGCACUGGUUCCAUCCUAUGGAAUCCUAGGAGCUGCAGUUUAGAGAAGAGUGCAGAGGGCCCUUCCAUAGUCAUAAAACCCACAAUAAUUCACAAUAUCUGCUUUAAACUGGGUUAUCUGAAUCCACACUGCCAUAUAAUCAAGUUCAUUGUGGAUUUUAUACAGCUCUGUGGAAGGGGCCUUACAAUCCUCUUCCAGAGAAUUUAAGUAUCUCACCAAACUACAAAACCAGGAUUUCAUGGGAUGUUUCCAGAGCAGAUAAAGAAGCUAAAAAAGAAUCAUAGUGCUGUGGUUAUAUAGUGUAAAUAUAACAAAUGAUUUGCCUAAGGAAAUCCAGUAAAUGACAGAUUGGAUGGAAACUAUCAGAACUCAGAAAAAAUAUUUAUGAUGGCUUUGAUUCUCAGAACUUGCCCAGCCAGUAUGGCCAAUGAAUGUCAUGGCUGGGGAAUUCUCUUAGUUAUAGACUUAAAAUGGGCCUUUUCCAAAACUUGGUGGUGACCCUUGUGAAAGCAUAAACAGGCCUUCCUGUUAUUAUGGUGGCUGUUAAGAGAUACAUCAUAGUUAUCUGUCAUAACUUUGUGUGGGUGUUUGGAAUGGAUAAUUAUGGAUCCAGAAUUAGGUGUACAGUGUCCACCAGGCAAUUGGUGGCUUUUGGAGCAGAUCUUGCCCCUUGUUUGGGAGUCUUCCAGACUGGUCUCUUAUUUUAUUCCUAAGAGAUCUGACAGCAAGCUGGAUCUGCAGACUCAUCGAUCAACAGCCAGGUUGGUCAAUGCCUAGGUCCAGACCCAUAUAUGAGCCAAUCCUGUCUACAACUGUAGCCAAAUAAAGAACUUCAGAGCCACAAGUGCUGUUGGAUUGCAAUUCCCAUUAUCCCCAGUCCACAAUUCAGAAAAUCAAAAGUAAUGGUGAAAUCGAGCCAUUUAAGGCAGUUGUGAAUAGUGAGAUCCGGACCACAGAUAGCAAUACCCACACCACAGAUACCAAGCCCAGUUAAGCAAAUAAUUGGCACCGGUCACUGGCUGCCUGUGGAUCCGUGCCUGGUGAGACAAAGACGCUAUAGCCCAAUGUUCCCCAAUCAAGAAGUCUCACCAGUUGAAGAAGAAGCCAAUGAGGUAUUUUAUUCAAUCCAGCUGGAAAGGAUGAUAGCUCGUAGUAAGCCACUAAAGGAAGCUGAGACCCUUGGUACAGACAAAACAUACUUUUUAUGCAGAGGAAUAUUUGGUUUUUCCUGCUCACACCCUAGCUGGAGCUGGCUUCAUGCUGAUUGGCAGAUCUGCUCUUGACGUCAUGGCCAGCUGGAAGGAUUCCUUUUGAGAGGUGGGACUGUUGUGCUCGCCAGCCAAUCAAGGAGCGUUCCCCGCUUCCAAUGCAGAUUCCUGCUCUCCAAUGGCUGAUGGGGCAGGAUGACUCGGGAGACAAAAGAGUGUACGGUUUUGUGAAUGAAUCACCUUGUCUCACUUUUGAGAUGAAAAAAAGCAGGACAAUCAGGUCUCUGAUGGUUAUGGGAUUGUUUCUUUGUGUUGUGAUUGACCCAUCAAGGUGGGUCAGGCACCCACAGUGCCCAUGUCCAUUGUAGUCCAUAUCAGAGUAUUGUCCAAAGUGAUGGGAUUAGAGAAGAGGGAAGAUAGAAUGUAUCCACGGUGCUGGAAGCUGCUGCUAAGUUCUGCCGUACCUCCGGAUGUUUGCAUAAUUGAUUCUAGUGAGGCUCCGAGCUCCUGCUCUCCACGACUCUCUCCACUGUGGCUUCCUAUAAUACUUCAUGAUUAAUUUGACAUGUGUGUAUGACGCUCAACCUCAAUGGGGGUUGUCAUUCAAUAACACCUGGGGAUCCAAAAUGGGUAAAAACUAAAGAGCUAUGUAAAAAAAUGAUCGUAUCCACAGAUCUUCUGUCCAUUCUAUGGCCCUUUGAAGGCAACCAUAAGCUUGAUGUGGCCCUGGAUGGAAACAAUUUUGACACUUCUGCUCUAAGUCACAGACAAAAAGAGAAGAAAAUCUGACAAUCUUUUGUCCCCUGGAAAGCAGGGCACAUGACAACCUGAGCUACAAAGGGAGAAGUCUAGAGAAGAGAAUUUUAGGGAGGGCAGCCAGGAUACCUGCAGGAUGCAAGCGAGGUCAUUUUGAAAAUCAUAUUUGGCCUUGGGUGUUACUUGUUGUUUACAGUAGUGCAACCAUUAGCCUUUGACCGAGAACAUGUUGACACAUGCCUGAGGAUCAUCCGGUUGAACCUUCUGCAUGAGGCCAUGCUACACCUGACAAUACUGAAAAAAUGUUUUUUAAUUUGCCUAUUACAAGUUUAUAAUGAAAGACAUGAACGCACAAAAUCCCAACUUCUAGAAUCUCCCUGCCAGCAAGGCCAUUGUAGCUAGCUCAGGCAUGGGCAAACUUCAACCCUCCAGGUGUUUGGAUUUCAACUCCCACAAUUCCUAACAGCCAGUAAUCCAAAACACCCGGAGGAUUGAAGUUUUCCCAUGCCUGAGCUAGACAGAUGGGAGAAUUCUGGAAAUUGAAGUCCUUUACCACAAUUUUUCCAUUCCCUGAAUCAAGAAUGCAUGAGCAGUGAUUCCCAAGGCUUGUUUUCUUUUCUCUAUUUGAGAAAUACUGAGGACAUGGUAUCAUGUACAAAAUAUGUACUCUAAAGAAAUGAACCCACUGUUGUGUUGGCUAGGUAAUCUAGUCUGUCUUCAUACUUUAAAGUUUUGCUUAAAAAAAUAAAACCACUUCCUUCUCUUGCUUAUGGAAUAAUAUAGAGCUUUUCUGCCAGGGGAAAAUCUUCUGUUUUCUGCCUACAAAAAGGAAUAAACCUUGACAUUACAGAUUAAUUAUCAGUUCAUAUAGCCUCAUUGUGUAAUAAGUUUUAAUGGUUUAUUGUAAUUAUAAUUAACAUUGCCUUAAGACCUAUCUGUCAAACAUUAAAACAAGGAAUUAAACCAAGGCAUUAAAACCAAACAGUUCAUGUUCUUAAAUCAGUUACCUAUCCAUAGAUUACUUUAUCCCAUGACUGCUAUCUGUACUCAGGAAUAUUUGAAAAGGAACUAUGGCCCCACCUACACUGCGGUAUAAUCCAGUUUCUGAAUGCAGAUUAACUGCAUUGAACUAGAUUAUCAUCAUUAGCUUUUGAUCUAUGUUAAUUUUAUCAAUAGUUGUAUGUAUUUUUAUCCUUUACAAUUUAGCUUGUAAAUUGCCUAGAGCAUCUUGGAUGGAGGGCGAUUAAUAAGUAAUUAAAUAAUGAUGAUGAUGAUGAUAUCCCCAUCAUCAUAGGCAAUCACUAUGUUCUGCAGGUGCAUAAUAGAGUUAGAAGAACAAUAGCUUUAUAAACAAGCAUCUUGGUAUCCCUAUAAAUGUCCUGAUCCUCAAACCCUCUCUGCUUCAUUUGGAAAAAAUGCUGCACUCGCAAAGCUUAGACAGUGUUGUAUUUCAGCAUUGAUACCAACCUUUAUGGAGAGGUGUCUGCUUAGCAGAAAUGGAGAAUGUUUUCUAGUUUUACACCAUUAAUUUUUAUUGCUGGCAUUGCAGAAGGAUUGGUUGGUGCCUGCUGGUAGAGCACUUAACAGUGGAUUAUUGUUUUGCUGAUGGUUAACAUGAUAGUCAGUGGUCUCUCAUCUGUUGCAGCCUUCUUCACCUUCACAGUCGUUGUAACAUGCACCAUAUUAUCAUCCGCGUGCUCCACCAUUGAGGUCUUUGGACUGGUCUUCAUUUGGUUCCUCCCCUAUUACCCUGCCUCCUUGAGAUACCCCUCUGUGAGUACUUGAUUCUAAGAGCUUCACCCAUAGGUUCACUGGAAUACACAAGCCCCUGCACCACAACAAGGUGACGAUCCAUGAGGGGGAGUCCAAGACUCAACUCACGAUGUCACACAAUCUAAUCUCACUGUGGAGGGAGUUCCACAGCUGAGGGGCCACCACCAAGAAGGCCUGUCUCUCGUCUCCACCAAUCGCACCUGCGACAGUGGCGGGACCGAGAGCAGGAUCUCCCCAGCUUAUUUUAAUGCUCUAACUCUAACAUAAAAGGAGAUGCAUUCGGAUAGGUAAGCUGGACUGGAACCAUUUAGGAAUUUAAAGGCUAAAGCCAACACUUGUGCUCUGUAGCAGAUUUACAGCCAGUGGAGCUGACGCAACGAAGGGGGGGUGUUAAAAUAAUAUAAAACCAUAUGGGGGGGGGGGGAUUUCCCAGACACCAGUGUGUGCAAAAAUCCAUUUGUCAACUUUACAUAAAACUCACAUGUUGUUCAUGUCAAAACAUGAAGAUCUUAUUGAAAUUCAGUGUACCUCUGUUUUAAAAACAAAUUUUUAAUCUGUGUCACUGAAUGACUUUUGGGUAGGACUGAUGGAUAAAGCCAUCAGUAGCUAGAAAUGCAGUCAAAGCCUUGUUCCCUAUCAUAUUCACCUAUUGAUUCAAAUCAGGCUUUAUGCUUACAUAAAAAACAAAUAUAGGAGUAAGUUGGAUACCACCCACAUAUUCAGCUGUCAGGCAGAAAGCUCAAUUUUUAAAAAUUAUUUUAAAUACAAAAUCCAAAUACAAAAUUUCAUUGCUCCAAUAUUUUCUUGUAUCAAAAUAAAUGUUUGUGGUUACAUCCAAUAUUUUCUUGUAUCGAAAUAAAGGGUUGGGGUUAUAUUUGAAAUGUUUUCUUUUUAUUUCCAAACCUAGGUAAAGGUAAAGGUUUCCCCUGAAAUUAAGUCUAGUCAUGUCUGACUCUGGGGGUUGGUGUUCAUCUCCAUUUCUAAACCAAAAAGCCAGCAUUGUCCAUAGACACCUCCAAGGUCAUGUGGGCAGCAUGACUGCAUGGAGCAGUGUUACCUUCCUGCAGAAGCGGCACCUAUUGAUCUACUCAUAUUUGCAUAUUUUCGAACUGCUAGGUUGGCAGAACCUGGGCCUAAUAGCGGGAACUCACUCCCUGGAUUUGAACCACCAACCUUUCAGUCAGCAAGCUCAGCAGCUCAGCGGUUUACCCCACUAUGCCACCGGGGACUCCAUUUCCAAACCUACUACGUUAUAUAAAACACUCAGGGAAUAUGAGUAGACGAAAGAAGGAUGAACUUUGUAGAUCCACAAUGCUUAGUUUAAAAAAUCAGGGUAAAAUUAUUCCUCCCAUUUAUUCUCCAAUCCAAAUUGUGACUGGAAUUUACAUUAUGCUUCUCCCUACCACCAUUCUGCACAAGGGUUGUGAGAGGAAUUGGUGCUGGCCCCCCAUGACAAUCUCCCACCCCCUACAUUACAUUGAUGAUAUUCCUGACUGGGUUAAACCCUUGUGCCAGCUGGACUGCAGACUUGAAGGUUGCUGGUUCGAAUCUGCGAGAUGGGGUGAGCUCUCAUCUGUCAGCUCUAGCUUGCGGGAACAUGAGAGAAGCCUCCCAGCAGGAGAAGCCUCCCAGGCAUCCCCUAGGCAACGUCUCUGUAGACAGCCAAUUCUCUAACACCAGAAGCGAUUUGCAGUAUAUUCCCAAGUCACUUCUGAUACGAUAAAAAAAAUCCUAAAUAUAAGUCAUAAUGCCACCCAAUAGCCUAGAAGGUAGCAAGGCUCCUUUUAUGAAGGAACACAGCUUUUAAAAAACUGAUUCACCCUGAAGCCCCCACUCACCCACCCUCCUGUGCCCAAGACCUUCCUAAAAGCUUUUUAGAAAGUUACAAGCGGAAGUAUUCAGCUGCCUGCAAUGUUUGGUUUGACCUUUCUUUUAUUCUAGAGGCUGCCAGCUUUUUGCUGAAAAAAAGAAGAGGACAAAAGCCAGGGAAAGAAAGUCUAUUGCAAUCAGAGCUUGUACUGCGGUUUAUCUCCACAUAAUCGGCUUCCUGGCUGAGCUGCUGCAAAAUGCCUUGGUUGCCCUCUGUUGAAUCCUUUUCAUCCCUGCAAUUCAGGGAUCCUUUGAAAAGGAAAGAAAGAGAGAUUUUGAACCACUUGGGGAGGAGGAGCAGUUCCUUCUAAGUCAGGAAAAAAUAUGGAUGUGGAUCCCAAAUGGAACUUUGAAAAAGGAGAUGGAGGGCCUGAUUCUUGCAGCCCAAGAACAAGCAAUUAGAUCAAAUGCCAUCAAAGCCAGAAUUGAAAAGACAACUACGAUUCCAAGUGUAGACUCUGCAAAGACUGCUUUGGAUCACAUCCUCAGCUUCUGCAAGAAGACCGUGCAGACAGACUAUAAACAGAGGUAUAAUACUGUUGCUCAGAUGAUCCACUGGAACUUGUGCCACAAAUACCAUCUGCCUGUGACAAAAAACUGGUGGAAUCACAAGCCUGAAAAUGUUACACAAAAUGAACACGUCAAAAUACUCUGGGAUUUCUGAAUUCAGACUGACAGAGUUUUGGAGCACAUUACUCCUGAUCUUAUGAUUGUGGGGAAAAAAAUGAAGUAUGGAUUGUCGAAGUUGCAAUCCCAGGUGACAGCAGAAUUGAGGAGAAGCAACUGGAAAAGCUUACACGAUAUGAGGAUUUAAAGAUAGAACUGCAAAGACCACGGCCAGUAAAGCCAGUGGUCCCAGUGGUGAUCCCAGUGCCGAAAGACCUUGGCCUGUACUUAACAACAAUCCGCGCUGAAAAAACGACCAUCUGUCAGCUGCAAAAGGCCACCCUACUCGGAUCUGUAAGCAUUAUUCGCCGAUACAUCACACUGUCUUGGACACUUGGGAAGUGUCUGACAUGUGAUUGAAUACAAAAGCCAGCAUAGUGAUCUUGCUUGCUGUGUACUAAUCUUGUUGUGUAUCAAAUAAUGAUAAUAACAAUUUAUUUGUUAUGAGCCUCAUUGCAUGGCUUGACACAGUUAAAAGACAUCACCGUAAAAUACUGUGAUGUGCUCUGAUUAAAAAGGAGGCAUUCAGUAUCACAAACUUGCUGAAAUACACAGGGACUCAAAGCCAGAUUUCUAAGAGGCAAACCCUUAAAGCUCUCUGCGUGCAGAGAGGAAUCUCUAAGUUCUGCUUCUUCCCAAAUUUUAAUUUAUAAAUUAUCAAUUAGGAAUUGUUUGUCAUUACUUGGUGCCAAGUGGGGUUUGCCUUAUGGAGACCCUGAAAACCAGAGUCCAGAAUCAAAUCAUUUGUAAUAUCUUCUGUUCCUACUGCCUUCCAUUUUACUGAUUGUUGUCAUGCUUUGUAAUUAAUCUUGUUGUCUCAUGAUGUGUCCAAUGUAUAAUAGCCCCAAUUUAGACAUUUUGCCUGUAGGGAGGGCUCCGGCUUGAUUUUCGCUAGGAUCCAUUUAUUGGUCUUUUUCACAGUCUAUUAUGCCUGGAAUACUCUUCUCCAGCACAACAUGUCAAAUGAAUUGAUUUUCUUCCUGUCAGCUUUAUUUACUGUCUAGCUUUCACAGCCACACGCGGAAACUGGAAAUGCUAUGUCAGAUAUGAUUCUGAUGUUGGUGUUGGAUAAUACAUCUGUGUCCUUGACGAUGUUAUCUAAUUUCUUAUAGUCUCCAUUUUGGUUAAUGACUGAGCCAAAGUAUAGGAAAUCUUUAAUGUAUUUCAGUGUCCUCAUUGCUCACUGUGAAUUUGCAGAUGUUGAUCAAAUCUUAUCAAAUAUGAACUGAAAUGAAAUUCUUACGCUUCCCAUAUUACCUUCAGAUCAUGCGUGCAAGAAGUUGCCAUUAUUUUGUAAUAUGACAAGCUAAUAUUAAGCAGACACAUCUCAUAAAGUGCUAUGCAGAACCAUUUUGUCAUCCCCCCCCCCCCCCCCCCCAUCCUGGUUGCACCAGAAGUCAGUAAUUCAUGCCUUUGGGCUAUUUCUUUGCAACUCAUUUCAAAGGCAUCUCUUCUUACUGACUUGGAAGAAAUUCAUCUGAAUCCCAUUAAGUCAGCAGAAACCCUUCUCUCCGUCCCACUGGGUCUCCAAAGAGGUCAUGAACCCUAUCUGUUUGUUCCAUUUCUUCCCCUCAUCAGGUGGCAAUUUUGUUCAAUGAUUUAUUAUAAGCCACAUGCAUUUAUCCAGCAUGACAUUUCAAUCAUGCAAAUAAGGAUUUUGCUAAUGAAUUGGAAAUUAAUUUGGCGUCUGCCGCUGUGUACACAUUGACAGUUUUGCUAAUGUUAUUACACUUGUAAUAUGGUCAGUGGCUUCUUCGUAAUUGCUAUAAAGUGUUGCAUUUAACACUUAGAAUAAAGGUUACAUCAAAGGAAAAAAAACCCA